CUUGGGAGGCAGGCGGCAGGCGCCGGAAGCACAGAGCUAAAUCCCCAGCCCAGUUGACAGUCUUUUGACUACGCAGUCCACGGUGGAGAAAAGUGUCACACUGAGCACACUGAGUUCUUGCCCUGACAUGAGUACUCUGAAUGCAAUUUGGGCUUAGAUGCCUUCGGUCUACACCAGAGCCAGAAGAAGUGAGAUUUUUACCCAUUGCAGAAAGGAAAUAAAGCCAAGCUCUCUCCAGGCAGGUACCUCCCUUCUUUCUCCCUCAGAUCUUCUGAUUUCUGCAAGAUACUAACCAAGGAUUAAUACAUUACACAAAGUCACACUGGAAUCUGGAGAAUUCCAUGCAUUGAAAAAGAGCCGCAGUAUCUGCUUUCUCUCCAGGCCACGUGACUAACUGAAUACCUGAAGUGUCUCUUUGAAACCUGGCGUGGUGUCACGGAGCACACAGCUGCCAAGGGUCCAUCUCAAGUAUCACAUGUUCUAACACAGUGGAAAAGAAUAGUCUUUACUUUGGGAGCAUCUUGAGUGACCAACACACUGCCAGGCUGUGUCAGAAUCAAUGACCAUCACGGUGGCCAUUAUGUUCAUAACCUGAUGCAGCUGGCACAGCAGAGGAGGUCCCUUUACCCAAGAUGGUCAGUGCUCAGCCAGGCGAGGUGAAGUUGACCCUGGAAACCAAGGACACCUGAGCUCUGAAAGACAGAAAGGGAGAGAAGGAAAGGACAGCUAGCAAUUAAUCAGCAUCAGAGCUCCAGGAGCAGAUGUGUAACAAGAGUCAAGGCACCAGUGUGGGGAAGGUCUGGUGAGCAUUUCUAUCCUUGGCUGGGAGUUGCAUUUUCUCCAUGCUACUGGGCAUCCUUCGCAGGGAAACUCAAGCUUCCUACCCCACAGGAGCCUUUCCAUACCAGGUGCUUUCAACACUCAAGAAUGGCCAGAACUUUACUAGUGACUGUUUGCACCCUGGUAUUUCCCACCCUAGCUGGCUAAGCCAUAAGAAGAAUUCCCUGUCCCAUCUCACCAGGACCCAGGAGAACAGUGAGGCCCUGGAGCUGUGAGCGGAAGCUGUGAGCCUCUCGGGGGCUCCAUUCACCUGGUCCUCUCCACAGCUGGAGUGGGAGCCCCAAGGCGCACACAGAGUGCAUCCAAGAUGGUCUACACAGGCUACAAAGAGCACUCUACAAGGGCAGCAGCUGGCCAGGAAUAUAGAAUUGGAGUUUGGUUAUUAUGAGGGUCUACUCCAAAACAGUGCAGCUCGAAUGGAUCUUAGCAAGAAACACUACUAAUCAUGACUGCCAACAGGAAAUUCUCAGUGCGUUAGGCACCAGGCUACCCGCUUUCAGGCACUGCCUCAUUUAUGUCAAGUGUAUACAUGGGGCCCAUAUCAUUCUGGCUUUCAGGACAGGAGGAACUCACGUUCUAUAACCCAAGUUACAGAACCAUAAGAAGAUGAAAUCAAACUCUGAUUUCUCUGAUCUGUACCUUGCUCUUUGAAGAUAAUAUAGUUUUUCCAUAAUUAGUGUAUACAA